UGCUCGGCCCACUGAGCAGCCAAAACGAGUUGAUGGAUCCAUUAGGCCGCUCAGAAUGCUUUCCCCCUCUCCCUCCAUUCCUGAGUGACACUGUAAAUCUGAGCCAAUUUCAGUCCCUAAUCAUCAUUACAAACCCCUCCACUGUUCAUUUAUUACUCUACAAUUCUAAUACAGCACACGAAUGGGUCAGCACACAGGGAGCCAACACAACUGCACAGACAGGCUUAAAGAGCCCAUAAUCCUUCCCAGCCUUUAUCUGGGAAGCAAACCUGAUUCCACUCCCAGCUCCCAAAGCCUGCUCUGGACUGGCGUUCAGAUGAAGUCUGCCUGGCCUGGAGAUCAGGAACAAGGGCUAUUUAGUUGCUAGGAAUUGGAGUGAGGGCUGCAUGGCAGAGGGAGAGGAAACAUCUGUCAGAUGUAGGCAUCAAAGGGAGACCUGGGGUAGGGGUCACAGCCAUGGCUGCCUGCUUUAGAAAUCGUAGUGCUGUGUGAUUCCUGCAACGUCUGUCUGGCAGGGGGCUGGGAUCAGCAGGAGGGAUGCCUGGCACAGGGACCAAAAUUAAGAUAAUUUGGCUUGGUUAUUGGAUUGACAGCUGUCUGGCGUGGCGGUCGCGUGGCAGAGAUGUGGCAGGGUGAUGGCUUGAUGGCUGUGUGAAAUGGCCACCAUGUGUCAGGUAUCUGGUAAAGCGAUCAGAGUUUUGAGUCUGUCUAAUGCGCUUGCCUGUGUAAGUUUUGCCUAGCAAGGAGCGAAUGCAUCAUGUGUGCUACUGGGAAGAUCUUGAUCACUCUGGGCAGGUGGCUCAUGAGGGGUUAUUUGUGCUACCUAACUGAUGGCUUAUCAAGAUUCUCCUUUAGCUCGAGAAAGAAAGCCCCUGCCACUGGAUUCACGGGUUCCCGACUCGGGUCUUUGCAAAGAUGAAUACGUCAUACCAGGUUCAACCCUCCCUUGUGGGGAAGAUCAUUUAGUUACGGUGAGAUGAUGUAACAGACCUGGCGUGUGCAGCUGCAUGUCAUGAGACCACAAGGGGAGGCAGUCAAUGUCACCUCUAUUGCUGUCAAACCCUUCUCGAGGCAGUGAUGGCUUUUCAGGGACCCUCCACCAGAUACACAAGAGUUUUCUAGGGCACAACGUAGCAACCCUGAGAAAGAUUCCCUCUUCCAUUGCUGUGCAAAUCACAGUGAAUCUUCUAAGAUGCCCUGCAGACAGUGCUAAUCCUCAGCAGAAGGCGUGGUCAUAGGAGCCGAUGGAUAUGCCAGACCAGCAUGGUACACAGAUUUAUUGGGACCUUUGACAUUCCAGGAUAGAAUUUUCAUAUUCAGGUCUAAAACUGACUGGCUAGUGCGUCCAAAGGAGAUGAAGCUCGCUGCAGGAGAAUUCAUGAAAGAUUUCCAACAGACAUGAUUCUAGUCCAUCCGUUCUAGGAGCUAGCGAGUGAACCCAGAGAGGCGACUGGCUCAGACUCACAAUGAUAAACAUGUCAAGCGUGUCUGACAUUAACACCACGAACUGACAGCACAAAGGCAGCAUCUGGAUGGCAUAGCCUGUGGCUCUCGAGUCACGGCUGGUGGACUUGUGGUACAUUCAGAUAUAUUCAUUAAAACACUAAUCAAGCAGAAGCUCAUUUGUGGAAUUGUCUUGGAAUAAAAAAAAAUGGCCAAAGUAAAACUGCUGCAGUCCUGAACUACUCCUGCGAUAAAAGAGAUUUGACAGCCCAAUCCAGUUAACUCCAUCAUUGCUUUUUGACGGCGAAUCCGUUUUUGUCAGUAUGUAGUGAAACGUUAAGACUCUACCACCCAGGUACAAUAUAUCAGGCUACAGCAGAGAACAGGAGUGUAUUUGCUUUGACAUGUUGUACCUGGCUUCUUGUUCAGCAAAAAAAAAAGGAAAAAGAAAGA